rnacentral:rRNA from 1 species
AUUGAACGCUGGCGGCAUGCUUAACACAUGCAAGUCGAACGGAAACGCGAAGAGCUUGCUCUUUGGCGUCGAGUGGCGGACGGGUGAGUAACGCGUGGGAAUCUACCCAGAAGCGGGGGACAAGCCAGGGAAACUUGGUCUAAUACCGCAUAAUCUCUUUGGAGUAAAGGUGGCCUCUAUUUAUAUGCUAUCGCUUUUGGAUGAGCCCGCGUUAGAUUAGCUAGUUGGUGGGGUAAAGGCCUACCAAGGCAACGAUCUAUAGCUGGUCUGAGAGGAUGAUCAGCCACAUCGGGACUGAGACACGGCCCGGACUCCUACGGGAGGCAGCAGUGGGGAAUAUUGGACAAUGGGCGCAAGCCUGAUCCAGCAAUGCCGCGUGUGUGAAGAAGGCCUGAGGGUUGUAAAGCACUUUCAAUUGUGAAAAAGGGUAUAAGCUUAAUACGCUUGUAUUUUGAUAUUAACUUUAGAAGAAGCACCGGCUAACUCUGUGCCAGCAGCCGCGGUAAUACAGAGGGUGCGAGCGUUAAUCGGAAUUACUGGGCGUAAAGCGCGCGUAGGCGGUUAUUUAAGUCAGAUGUGAAAUCCCUGGGCUCAACCUAGGAACUGCAUCUGAAACUGGGUAACUAGAGUUUAGGAGAGGGGAGUAGAAUUUCGGGUGUAGCGGUGAAAUGCAUAGAGAUCCGAAGGAAUACCAGUGGCGAAGGCGACUCCCUGGCCUAGAACUGACGCUGAGGUGCGAAAGCGUGGGUAGCAAACGGGAUUAGAUACCCCGGUAGUCCACGCCGUAAACGAUGUCAACUAGCCGUUGGGACCCUUGAGGUCUUAGUGGCGCAGCUAACGCAUUAAGUUGACCGCCUGGGGAGUACGGUCGCAAGACUAAAACUCAAAGGAAUUGACGG